rnacentral:lncRNA from 1 species
AAAAAAAAGUGCUAGUGAGAAGUUUCAGAGGGGCAGGGUGAGGGGAAGGAGGCAGAACUGGAUUGGAAUGAGAAGCCUAUUUUUAGAACCUUGCAUUUACAUAAUAGGGCUCUGGGAAGCCACCUCUUGGUUAAAGCAGGAAGCUGUCAGAGGCCAAGGCCACCACCUCAGCCAACUCCCUGUUCCACCUUGCCCUCCCGCAGCCGGCCCUGGGGUGAGGGGUGCCACAGCCUGCGUCUAGGAGUGUGGCCAGGGCAGGCGCCUCCUUGGUGAACUCAUCUGUAUCUAUGCUAAUAAACAACAGAAUAGAGAUAAAGGAAAGUUAUAGAGCAAUUAUCCAACCUCCCUUUCUUAAGUCAAUGGAUUACUUUCCUUUCCCCUAACAUUGGACAUCAGAGAUACCCACAAGGAGCCCCAUGUUCUCAACUACUUCCCUGGCCACUGACUUCAUCUGGCAGAGGAGCUGAGCAGCGGUAAAAUAGAAAAGGCAAUAAGAGAAGUGAAGUGAGAAAGGAAGAAGGGGCUUGAUUGUCAACAGAGUGAGAAAUCACCUCCUGGAAAAUGAAGCCUGUACUGUACAAGAACAACAAAAUGAUGAUGAUAAUAACAAUAAUAACAGUAAUUAGAUGUUGCUAUAAUGACCUCAUAAAGCCCAGUUUUUGCAGAAAAAUAAUUUCUUCCUGCUCGUGACGUUGAGGAACUGACAUCGCUUCCUGUGGCUUAGAGACUCAAACAGAGCAUGGGGCCCACGUUACCACUUCUGAAAGGAACAUUCCCUGUAAACAGAGUGAGUCAAGCCAGUGUCGUUUCCCUGGUGAUCGGAGCAUAGUGAUCCUUCUACAAGGCAUACACCCAGCACGCUCCAUGCAGAAAAUCAAUGAGCCUGGUCAGGCAUUUCAGCUUUAAUUAUCUGAGUUGUUGUCAACAACAGAAAUCCCAGUGAAAACAAACAGCCACCAUGCUGUUUUGGGGGCCCUGACAUCUAACUCCCUAGUGUCAGAAUAUAGCUUUUUCAGAGCCAAAGACUGAAGUGAGGUGGGGAGAGAGAAAGGGCAGCUAUCCCCCGGGUCAUGCACUCAGUUGUCGAGGUGCUGAGAGCCACCCUGCACGUUUGACCUGCUGGGCAGGAGGUGGAGCUGGAGCCAGCAGGGACAGCGCCCGGGUCCAGGGCAGAUGUGCGCCUCCUGCUGCCCUGGAGAGGCGGUAAUAGCACAGUGGUCAGAGCAAAGGCUCCUGAUUCAGGCAUGGUCUGAUCCUGCCUCCUCUGAUAACUUGCUGGAUAAUCUUGGUGGUUCUGGAAAGCUUAUAAGCCUCAGUGCCCCUGUCCAAGGGUGUGAGGAUCUCAGGAGAUAAUUCACAUAGAAAGUCCUGCACAGCUGCUAUUGCCCCUGGGACCAGGCUUCUGGACACCACCCUCCUCUCCUCCGGUUUCCCACCCUGAUGUCUCAGUCUUGCCUUCCACUCGCCCUCCUGUACGGCAUCUACUCACCUAGCUCUGGCCCCUUCCGCUGCCACAUUUAGUCCUGCUGUCCCCUCCCAGGUGCUGGUAGAGAAGCCAAGGAGGUAAGGGUUGA